rnacentral:rRNA from 1 species
GACGAACGCUGGCGGCGUGCUUAACACAUGCAAGUCGAACGGAAAGACCCUGCUUUUGUGGGGUGCUCGAGUGGCGAACGGGUGAGUAACACGUGAGUAACCUGCCCUUGACUUUGGGAUAACUUCAGGAAACUGGGGCUAAUACCGGAUAGGAGCUCCUGCUGCAUGGGGGGGGUUGGAAAGUUUCGGCGGUUGGGGAUGGACUCGCGGCUUAUCAGCUUGUUGGUGGGGUAGUGGCUUACCAAGGCUUUGACGGGUAGCCGGCCUGAGAGGGUGACCGGCCACAUUGGGACUGAGAUACGGCCCAGACUCCUACGGGAGGCAGCAGUGGGGAAUAUUGCACAAUGGGCGGAAGCCUGAUGCAGCAACGCCGCGUGCGGGAUGACGGCCUUCGGGUUGUAAACCGCUUUCGCCUGUGACGAAGCGUGAGUGACGGUAAUGGGUAAAGAAGCACCGGCUAACUACGUG